rnacentral:rRNA from 1 species
CCUACGGGGGGCUGCAGUGGGGGAUAUUGCACAAUGGAGGAAACUCUGAUGCAGCAACGCCGCGUGAGGGAAGAAGGUCUUCGGAUUGUAAACCUCUGUCCUCAGGGACGAUAAUGACGGUACCAGAGGAGGAAGCUCCGGCUAACUACGUGCCAGCAGCCGCGGCAAUACGUAGGGGGCAAGCGUUGUCCGGAUCUAGUGGGUGUAAGGGUGCGUAGGCCGCCCAGCGAGUCAGGUGUGAAAAAUAUGGGCUUAACUCAUAGAUUGCACUUGAAACUGGGGGGAUUGAGGGAAGUAGAGGCUGGUGGAAUUUCCGGUGUAGCGUUGCAAUGCGUAAAGAAGGGGAAGAAAACCAGUGGAGAAGGUGGCCUGCUGUGAUUUAUCUGACGUGGAAGCACGAAAGCGUGGGUAGCCAACAGUAUUAGAUACCCUUGUGGUC